CUAAUAUUAUGUAAGUAUAAUAACUUGAACUAAAAUUAAGGAUAAUUUCUAACCAUGUUUACACUUUGUAUAACUCAUAAAUACAUUUUGUAAUUAUCAAUUAUCUGUGUGAUUAUAAAUCGCUAAUCUUCUAACAAAUGAUCAUAUAAAACUGAGUAGAUAAUUAAUAAAUUACUUUCAAUAAGACAAAUUAAUAAAAUAAUUAUGGCCUGUGAAUGAGUAAAACAAGUUGCCUACUUUAAUUUUUGUUCUCUUCUUAUAUUACUGAAUUGGCACCAGUGAAGUGGUACUAAUCAGUACCUAAUCAAUGAUAUCUCUCUAAUUAAGUUUUUACUGAUUUCAUUUGUAAGAGAUAAAAAUAAAAAAGAUCACCAUAACACUGAAAUACACAAAUAUUACAAGAAUAGAAAAUGGUUAAUUAUUCA